UACGUAGGUGGCAAGCGUUGUCCGGAUUUAUUGGGCGUAAAGCGCGCGCAGGCGGUCCUUUAAGUCUGAUGUGAAAGCCCACGGCUCAACCGUGGAGGGUCAUUGGAAACUGGGGGACUUGAGUGCAGAAGAGGAAAGUGGAAUUCCACGUGUAGCGGUGAAAUGCGUAGAGAUGUGGAGGAACACCAGUGGCGAAGGCGGCUCACUGGACCGGUACUGACGCUGAGGCGCGAAAGCGUGGGUAGCAAACAGG
rnacentral:rRNA from 1 species